UACGUAGGGGGCGAGCGUUGUCCGAAGUUACUGGGCGUAAAGCGCGCGUAGGCGGGUUGGCAAGUCUGCUGUGAAAGCCCGGGGCUUAACUCCGGAGGGUCGGUGGAUACUGCCAGUCUUGAAGGUGCUAGGGAGACUGGAAUUCCUGGUGUAGCGGUGAAAUGCGCAGAUAUCAGGAGGAACACCGAUGGCGAAGGCAGGUCUCUGGGCAUGUCCUGACGCUGAGGAGCGAAAGUGUGGGGAGCGAACAGG
rnacentral:rRNA from 1 species